AAAAAAUCAAAAGCUAUAUGCUUUCAGAUCUAAAUACUUACAUUUUUCUAAUUAUUCUCAUGAAAUGUAAUCUAAUUUACUUUAAUUGCAGAUUUCGGGAAGUAGAAGAUAAAGACUGUCAGGAAAUAACAUUAGAAGUGAUAACAGCAGGAGCAAUAGGACCUAGGAGUUCCCAAAAGGAACAUGAAGGAUGUCAUGCCAAAAGGGGCAAAGAGCACAGUCCUCAACUAUGGAAAUAAUUGUGGGCCAAACUGUUAAUGGAAUUUGGGGUGCUGGAGUCUCCUAGAGUACCUGGGAUCGAACUCAGGACCUUGCACUUGGGAGGCAGGCAUGGUGCCACUGAGCUACAUCCCCAGCCCAGGUAUAGAGGAUAUUGCCCCUGCACAGGAAAAGCUGACUAAUACAAAGUAACACUGAGUUCCAUCCAAAAAAAGGGCAGCCAAGCAUGGGAACUAUGACUACAGGUUACCUACCCUUCUCACACUUUAU
rnacentral:lncRNA from 1 species